GUAUCAAAGUCCCUUCCUUGCUUAGAACCACUAUCUCUUGAUUGAUCUGUUUUUUUUCUACUUUUGCAGCUCACUCUGUAAGUUCACUAGCAUAACACCAAUACAACACUAGCUAUAGCAGUAACUAGUAGAAUGAGUCAGGGUUCAGGUGAAUUCAAUAAUAGACGCCUGUUGGCAUUCCAGCCUUCCUUCUCCUUUCAGGGAGAGCUAAUGCGGGUAUUUUGGUUUGUAGGUAAUAAAACCUACUAUUCCGCUAUGAGGGAAAGGAGUGAAAAGCUAUGUGAAGUAAAAGAGGAGUAGGUAUUUUUGUUUGUAGGUAAUAAAACCUACUAUUAUGCUAUGAGGGAAAGGAGUGAAAAGCUAUGUAAAGUAAAAGAGGAGUUAAGAAAAAGUCUUGUCUAUUAACAUUUAAUAAUAAUGAAAGUACUUAUUUUUUAUUUUUUAAUUCACAUUUGAUUUUAAUUCAAAAUUACAAUUAUAUCCUGUCUCUGUAAGGUGAGAGUGGAAUUUCUCCUUUAUUUUGUCCUUUCAUUCACAUUUGAUUUUAAUUCAAAAUUACAAUUAUAUCCUAUCUCUGUAAGGUGAGAGUGGAGUUUCUCCUUUAUUUUGUCCUUUCCAUUCACUCGGAUUUCUUCCGUUUCAUCGAUUUUGUCCGGAUCCCACCUUUCUUCUGAAAAAAGGGAAGGAGAAGGAUCUUCUUCAGUGGAUCCCUCUUGUUCCUAUUUAGUCCCCUUCAUUUCGGAAGCUCUUUCUAUUUCUACAUCUCUUUCUUCCUCACUUUCCACCCUUUCUUAUGUUUUUGAGGCUUCUUUCAGUUUCUUAGUAAGAAUGGGUGAGGGUAUUCUGCCUUAACAGUAGACACGGGUAAUAAAUAAGAGAAUACUAAAGAUCCGAGCCAUAGAAUUUCUCAAUUCUAACACAAGGUACUUAUUAGAUCGAAUGUACUUAUUCGAUCUAAUAACUAGAGGUUCGAGCCAUAUAAUUUCUUAGUUCUAACACAAGGUACUUAUUAGAUCGAAUGUACUUCUUAGAUCUAAUAGAAUGAUUUUUCCGUAUCCAGACUAAUACCUAUCCAAGCCAUUUCAUGAAUGAAAUGUGACCAAUUAACCAACCAACAAAACCACUUGUACAAAUAUGAUCUUGCUGUUGCAUCGAAAGAGAUAAAUGUUGACUAAUCUGGCUAACAUUGAACUUGGUAAAAU
rnacentral:lncRNA from 1 species